GGUGAGGGUCACCAAACUUAGAAGGUGCAUUCCUUUAUUUUUUUUCUCUUUUUUUUCUUUUUCGGAACACUCACUUAUAUUCAUUGGCUUCCAUGCGUAGAUUGUGUGUGAGAUAGUGCUGACUGCUGAAAUAAACUACUCAAGAGUUGUCAGAGAAUGAGAAUUUAAGGCUAUGUCAUAAUAAAAAUUCAACUCAAUUUCCAUAUGCAGGAGACUUACGGUGUUAAAACAAUACCGAUCUUGUGAAUUUUUCCCAAGUCUCUACAAACCAACCUCAAAUUAUUGUAUAUGCUAAAACUUUCAACAAAAAUGCAAUUUUUUUUAGAAAGAAAACAAAAACAAAACAAAACAAAGAACAAAAACAAAG
rnacentral:lncRNA from 1 species